rnacentral:rRNA from 1 species
UACGUAGGGGGCAAGCGUUGUCCGGAUUUAUUGGGCGUAAAGAGCGUGUAGGCGGCCAGGUAGGUCUGCUGUGAAAACUCGAGGCUCAACCUCGAGACGUCGGCGGAAACCAUCUGGCUAGAGUCCGGGAGAGGGAUGCGGAAUUCCAGGUGUAGCGGUGAAAUGCGUAGAUAUCGAGAGGAACACCUGCGGCGAAGGCGGGUUGCUGGGCUGACACUGACGCUGAGGCGCGAAAGCUAGGGGAGCGAACGGG